rnacentral:lncRNA from 1 species
CUCAAUCUGGUCCAAAGUCUAGCUCGCGAUGCCUUUGCCCCUUGAAUCGGCCUCCACUCCCGUCGAAUCUAUCCAAAAUCAGAAUCACGGCAUCAACAUAUGCUAUGGGAACAAAACCCAAGCGAAAAUAAUCAAGCUACAACUUAAACUCCGAAAUUAUCAAAAUCUGACCCCGGGCCCAUGUCUCGGAAUCCGAUAAAAAUUACAUCAAUGGGUUCCUUAUCACUCCCCGAGUUCAUACAUACCAAAAGCAUCAAAAUCUAUCUGCAAACGACUCCUCAAAUCUCAAUUUCUAGGUCUCCAAUUU